GAUGAACGCUAGCGGCAGGCUUAAUACAUGCAAGUCGAGGGGUAGCAAGAUUGUAGCAAUACAAUUGUUGACGACCGGCAAACGGGUGCGGAACACGUACACAACCUUCCUACAAGUGGGGAAUAGCCCAGAGAAAUUUGGAUUAAUACCCCGUAACAUAGCGAUGUGGAAUCACAUUGCUAUUAUAGCUUCGGCGCUUGUUGAUGGGUGUGCGGCUGAUUAGAUAGUUGGCGGGGUAACGGCCCACCAAGUCUACGAUCAGUAGCGGAUGGUAGAGCAUGAUCAGCCACACGGGCACUGAGACACGGGCCCGACCCCUACGGGAGGCAGCAGUAAGGAAUAUUGGACAAUGGACGCAAGUCUGAUCCAGCCAUGCCGCGUGAAGGAUUAAGGUCCUCUGGAUUGUAAACUUCUUUUAUAAGGGACGAAAAAAGGUCUUUCUAGAUCGUCUGACGGUACCUUAUGAAUAAGCACCGGCUAACUCCGUGCCAGCCGCCGCCGUAACAC
rnacentral:rRNA from 1 species